rnacentral:rRNA from 1 species
CACAAGCGGUGGAGUAUGUGGUUUAAUUCGAUGCAACGCGAAGAACCUUACCUGGUCUUGACAUCCCGGAGACCCUUAGGAAACUAGGGGGUGCUUCCAUCUGGAAGAAUCUGGAGACAGGUGCUGCAUGGCUGUCGUCAGCUCGUGUCGUGAGAUGUUGGGUUAAGUCCCGCAACGAGCGCAACCCUUGCCUUUAGUUGCCAGCAGUUCGGCCGGGCACUCUAAAGGGACUGCCGGUGUUAAACCGGAGGAAGGUGGGGAUGACGUCAAGUCCUCAUGGCCUUUAUGACCAGGGCUACACACGUACUACAAUGGCCGAUACAAAGGGCAGCGACACUGCGAGGUGAAGCCAAUCCCGUAAAAUCGGUCUCAGUCCGGAUUGGAGUCUGCAACUCGACUCCAUGAAGUUGGAAUCGCUAGUAAUCGUGGAUCAGCAUGCCACGGUGAAUACGUUCCCGGGCCUU